rnacentral:rRNA from 1 species
UGGGGAAUAUUGCACAAUGGGCGCAAGCCUGAUGCAGCCAUGCCGCGUGUAUGAAGAAGGCCUUCGGGUUGUAAAGUACUUUCAGCGGGGAGGAAGGGAGUAAAGUUAAUACCUUUGCUCAUUGACGUUACCCGCAGAAGAAGCACCGGCUAACUCCGUGCCAGCAGCCGCGGUAAUACGGAGGGUGCAAGCGUUAAUCGGAAUUAUUGGGCGUAAAGGGUACGCAGGCGGUUUAAUAAGUCGAAUGUUAAAGAUCGGGGCUCAACCCCGCAAAGCAAUGGAAACUGAUAAACUUGAGUAGUGGAGAGGAAAGUGGAAUUCCUAGUGUAGUGGUGAAAUACGUAGAUAUUAGGAGGAAUACCAGUAGCGAAGGCGACUUUCUGGACACAAACUGACGCUGAGGUACGAAAGCGUGGGGAGCAAACAGG